rnacentral:tRNA from 1 species
AAGGCCUUAGCUUAAUUAAAGUCCCUGAGUUGCAUUCAGGAGAUGUGGGAUAAAGUCCCGCAGGUCUUA